GAUGAACGCUGGCGGCGUGCCUAAUACAUGCAAGUCGAGCGAACGGACGAGAAGUUUGCUUCUCUGAUGUUAGCGGCGGACGGGUGAGUAACACGUGGAUAACCUACCUAUAAGACUGGGAUAAGUUCGGGAAACCGGAGUUAAUACCGGGUAAUAUUUUGAACCGGAUGGUUCAAAAGUGAAAGACGGUCUUGCUGUCACUUAUAGAUGGAUCCGCGCUGCAGUAGCUAGUUGGUAAGGUAACGGCUUACCAAGGCAACGAUGCAUAGCCGGCCUCGGAGGGUGACCGGCCACACUGGGACUGAGACACGGUCCAGACUCCGACGGGAGCCAGAAGCAGGGAAGCUUCCGCAAUGGGGGAAAGCCUGACGUAGCAGCGCCGCGUGAGUGAUGAAGGUCUUCGGGUCGUAAAACUCUGUUAUUAGGGAAGAACAUAUGUGUAAGUAGCUGUGCACAUCUUGACGGUACCUAAACAGAAAGCCACGGCUAACUACGUG
rnacentral:rRNA from 1 species